AUUGAACGCUGGCGGCAGGCCUAACACAUGCAAGUCGAGCGAGCGGCGGACGGGUGAGUAAUGUAUGGGGACUGCCCGAUAGAGGGGGGUAACUACUGGAAAAGGUUGCUAAAACCCCAUAUUGUCUGAUAACCCAUAGGGGAGUAGCUAGUAGGUAAGGUAAUGGCUUACCUAGGCGACGAUCCCUAGCUGGGCUGAGAGGAUGAUCAGCCACACUGGGACUGAGACACGGCCCAGACUCCUACGGAGGCAGCAGUGGGGAAUAUUGCACAAUGGGCGCAAGCCUGAUGCAGCCAUGCCGCGGGUAUGAAGAAGGCCCUAGGGUUGUAAAGUACUUUCAGUCGGGAGGCGUUACCGGCAGAAGAAGCACCGGCUAACUCCGUGCCAGCAGCCGCGGUAAUUC
rnacentral:rRNA from 1 species